GUUACGCUAAUACCGCAUAUUCUGUGAGCAGGAAAGCAGGGGAUCGCAAGACCUUGCGCUCUGGGAGCGGCCGAUGUCGGAUUAGCUAGUUGGUGGGGUAAAGGCCUACCAAGGCGACGAUCCGUAGCGGGUCUGAGAGGAUGAUCCGCCACACUGGGACUGAGACACGGCCCAGACUCCUACGGGAGGCAGCAGUGGGGAAUUUUGGACAAUGGGCGGAAGCCUGAUCCAGCCAUGCCGCGUGAGUGAAGAAGGCCUUCGGGUUGUAAAGCUCUUUCGGCCGGGAAGAAAUCGCAUGGGUCAAUACCCUGUGUGGAUGACGGUACCGGAAUAAGAAGCACCGGCUAACUACGUGCCAGCAGCCGCGGUAAUACGUAGGGUGCGAGCGUUAAUCGGAAUUACUGGG
rnacentral:rRNA from 1 species